AGUGAACGCUGGCGGUAGGCCUAACACAUGCAAGUCGAACGGCAGCACAGUAAGAGCUUGCUCUUACGGGUGGCGAGUGGCGGACGGGUGAGGAAUACAUCGGAAUCUACUUUUUCGUGGGGGAUAGCGUAGGGAAACUUACGCUAAUACCGCAUACGACCUACGGGUGAAAGCAGGGGAUCUUCGGACCUUGCGCGAUUGAAUGAGCCGAUGUCGGAUUAGCUAGUUGGCGGGGUAAAGGCCCACCAAGGCGACGAUCCGUAGCUGGUCUGAGAGGAUGAUCAGCCACACUGGAACUGAGACACGGUCCAGACUCCUACGGGAGGCAGCAGUGGGGAAUAUUGGACAAUGGGCGCAAGCCUGAUCCAGCCAUACCGCGUGGGUGAAGAAGGCCUUCGGGUUGUAAAGCCCUUUUGUUGGGAAAGAAAAGCAGCAGGUUAAUACCCCGCUGCUCUGACGGUACCCAAAGAAUAAGCACCGGCUAACUUCGUG
rnacentral:rRNA from 1 species